rnacentral:rRNA from 1 species
UACGUAGGGUGCAAGCGUUGUCCGGAAUUAUUGGGCGUAAAGAGCUCGUAGGCGGUUUGUCGCGUCGAAUGUGAAAACCCGGGGCUCAACCCCGGGCCUGCAUUCGAUACGGGGCAGACUAGAGUUCGGUAGGGGAGUCUGGAAUUCCUGGUGUAGCGGUGAAAUGCGCAGAUAUCAGGAGGAACACCGGUGGCGAAGGCGGGACUCUGGGCCGAUACUGACGCUGAGGAGCGAAAGCGUGGGGAGCGAACAGG